GCCAUAAUAAGUGCUUAGUCUUAGGAGGAGCAUGCACUUUCCAAAUAUCUUUCCAUUGCUCUUGAUUGAUAUCAACAUGAUAGUUCCCUGUUUGUUUCAAUAAAAAUUUAUAUCCACUUUUAACAUUAUAAUUACCAUGUGCAUCAUCUAUCCAUACAAGUUUAUCAUCAUCUACAACUUCAAGCAAAGGAACAUCAAAGUAUAGAAUUAACAACAUUCAAGGGAAAUAAUGACUCAAUCUUUUUCAUAUACCAUGUUUUCUCAUAUGGGCGCAAUAAUUGAUUAACAUAAAUAUGAUACACACCUUGUUCUUGAGGCGAAUUAAUCCAUAAACCAUCUUCCUCCCUAAGGCAAGGAUCACCCAUAACUCUAAUAUUGGUACCAUUUCCUAUGCUCCACCUACAAUCAUUUAUAAGUACUUGACAGACGCAACUUCCAAAUACUACGCCAAGCAUACCUUGGAUUGCUACCAAGAUGGGAAUAAAAAAUAGUGGAGUUAGGAAAGUACCUCGUCUUGAAUGAUUUAGCCACUAAC
rnacentral:lncRNA from 1 species